UAUGUGUCCUGCCUCUCUGCUCCCAGCCGUUAAGAGGCCAGUGUUGAUCAGUGGCUGUCCAGGCCUUUCAGAGCCACUGACACGCCAGCAGCACAAUGAUGAUGUCACUGAUUCUACUGCUGGCCACCCUGGGGCUCCUUGUUCAGGAUUCAUCAGGAGAAAUCAUCCUGACUCAGUCUCCUGAAUCUCAGUCUGUUGUUCCAGGACAGGCUGUCUCUAUCAGAUGUAAAGCCAGUUCAAGUGUUGGUACUUGCCUCAACUGGUACCUUCAGAAACCUGGAGAAGCUCCCAAACUCCUGAUUUAUUAUUCUACAACUCAUCAGUCUGGAGUUUCAGAUCGUUUUAGUGGAAGUGGAUCUGGGACUGACUUCACUCUGACCAUCAGUGGAGUCCAGACUGAAGAUACAGGAGAUUAUUAUUGUCAGCACUGUAACAGCUGGCCAUUCACAAAGUGAUUCAACGUCGUACAAAAACCUCCCUCUUCUAGAGAGGAACUGAUCUGAACGAACAGCUGCACAGAAAUUAAAACACUACAGGAUUGAUUAACAUAUAUUUUAUGGUAGACCACAA